GUGCUCGCUUUGGCAGCACAUAUACUAAAGUUGCAACGGUACAGAGAAGAUUAGCAUGGCCCCUGCACAAGGAUGACAGGUAAAUUCGUGGUGUUCCAAAUUUUUUU
rnacentral:snRNA from 1 species